CCUACGGGAGGCAGCAGUGAGGAAUAUUGGUCAAUGGCCGGAAGGCUGAACCAGCCAAGCCGCGUGAGGGAGGAAGGCGCAGAGCGUCGCAGACCUCUUUUGCCGGGGGACAAAAGGCCGGACUCGUCCGGUCCUGAGGGUACCCGGAGAAAAAGCAUCGGCUAACUCCGUGCCAGCAGCCGCGGUAAUACGGAGGAUGCGAGCGGUAUCCGGAUUCAUUGGGUUUAAAGGGUGCGCAGGCGGGCCUUUAAGCCGGCGGGGAAAUCGCGGGGCUCAACCCCGCCGGGCCGUCGGAACUGGGGGCCUUGAGUGCGGCGGAGGCAUGCGGAAUGCGCGGUGUAGCGGUGAAAUGCAUAGAUAUCGCGCAGAACCCCGAUUGCGAAGGCAGUGUGCCGUGCCGCCACUGACGCUGAGGCACGAAAGCGCGGGGAUCGAACAGGAUUAUAUACCCCAGUAGUC
rnacentral:rRNA from 1 species